CCAGACUCCUACGGGAGGCAGCAGUGAGGAAUAUUGGUCAAUGGGCGCGAGCCUGAACCAGCCAAGUCGCGUGAGGGAAGACGGUCCUAUGGAUUGUAAACCUCUUUUGUCGGGGAGCAAAAGACGCCACGCGUGGCGUUCCGAGAGUACCCGAAGAAAAAGCAUCGGCUAACUCCGUGCCAGCAGCCGCGGUAAUACGUAGGGGGCAAGCGUUAUCCGGAAUUACUGGGUGUAAAGGGAGCGUAGACGGUUAAGUAAGUCUGGAGUGAAAGGCCGGGGCCCAACCCCGGGACUGCUCUGGAAACUAUUGAACUUGAGUGCAGGAGAGGUAAGCGGAAUUCCUAGUGUAGCGGUGAAAUGCGUAGAUAUUAGGAGGGACACCAGUGGCGAAGGCGGCUUACUGGACUGUAACUGACGUUGAGGCUCGAAAGCGUGGGGAGCAAACAGGAUUAGAUACCCUGGUA
rnacentral:rRNA from 1 species